UUACGGGUUGGGACGAGCCGUGAAGGUCCGGCGCAGCCUUGGGCUCACGAGUGGGCAGCGUCCGAGGAGUCGCGCGCGGACGACUGAAUUCACAGAGGACUGGGAGGACAGUUGCCUGCACCAGAAUCACCAUGAAAGUUCCUCUGGAUUCUUCCUAAUUAUUUAGCAGGAAGGCAAGAAAGCAGAGGUGAAAGUCAACUAUCAUUAGCCCC